UGGGGAAUAUUGCACAAUGGGCGCAAGCCUGAUGCAGCCAUGCCGCGUGUAUGAAGAAGGCCUUCGGGUUGUAAAGUACUUUCAGCGGGGAGGAAGGGAGUAAAGUUAAUACCUUUGCUCAUUGACGUUACCCGCAGAAGAAGCACCGGCUAACUCCGUGCCAGCAGCCGCGGUAAUACGGAGGGUGCAAGCGUUAAUCGGAAUUACUGGGCGUAAAGCGCACGCAGGCGGUUUGUUAAGUCAGAUGUGAAAUCCCCGGGCUCAACCUGGGAACUGCAUCUGAUACUGGCAAGCUUGAGUCUCGUAGAGGGGGGUAGAAUUCCAGGUGUAGCGGUGAAAUGCGUAGAGAUCUGGAGGAAUACCGGUGGCGAAGGCGGCCCCCUGGACGAAGACUGUCGCUCAGGUGCGAAAGCGUGGGGAGCAAACA
rnacentral:rRNA from 1 species